rnacentral:misc_RNA from 1 species
AAGCUCGCACUUGAAACUUGACGCUGGAGUUCGAUGAAGCCGAAGCACUUGUUGGCUUGUUGGAAGGCCUCAAAGGCAAUGGCUUGGCAAAGGCUUCAGCGUUCCUCGCUCUCUUCUGAGCUGCGUUAGUAAUGGGCAUCGCCAUUGAAACUGCAGAAGUUGAAGCCAUCAGGUACUCUCUUGACUCUUCUCUAUCAAAACUUGAUUGAAGCUUUUCCUUUUACUGAGCUCUCCG